rnacentral:rRNA from 1 species
UGCAGUCGAGCGAACUGAUUAGAAGCUUGCUUCUAUGACGUUAGCGGCGGACGGGUGAGUAACACGUGGGCAACCUGCCUGUAAGACUGGGAUAACUUCGGGAAACCGAAGCUAAUACCGGAUAGGAUCUUCUCCUUCAUGGGAGAUGAUUGAAAGAUGGUUUCGGCUAUCACUUACAGAUGGGCCCGCGGUGCAUUAGCUAGUUGGUGAGGUAACGGCUCACCAAGGCAACGAUGCAUAGCCGACCUGAGAGGGUGAUCGGCCACACUGGGACUGAGACACGGCCCAGACUCCUACGGGAGGCAGCAGUAGGGAAUCUUCCGCAAUGGACGAAAGUCUGACGGAGCAACGCCGCGUGAGUGAUGAAGGCUUUCGGGUCGUAAAACUCUGUUGUUAGGGAAGAACAAGUACAAGAGUAACUGCUUGUACCUUGACGGUACCUAACCAGAAAGCCACGGCUAACUACGUGCCAGCAGCCGCGGUAAUACGUAGGUGGCAAGCGUUAUCCGGAAUUAUUGGGCGUAAAGCGCGCGCAGGCGGUUUCUUAAGUCUGAUGUGAAAGCCCACGGCUCAACCGUGGAGGGUCAUUGGAAACUGGGGAACUUGAGUGCAGAAGAGAAAAGCGGAAUUCCACGUGUAGCGGUGAAAUGCGUAGAGAUGUGGAGGAACACCAGUGGCGAAGGCGGCUUUUUGGUCUGUAACUGACGCUGAGGCGCGAAAGCGUGGGGAGCAGACAGGAUUAGAUACCCUGGUAGUCCACGCCGUAAACGAUGAGUGCUAAGUGUUAGAGGGUUUCCGCCCUUUAGUGCUGCAGCUAACGCAUUAAGCACUCCGCCUGGGGGGUACGGUC